rnacentral:rRNA from 1 species
AACGAACGCUGGCGGCAGGCUUAACACAUGCAAGUCGAGCGCCCCGCAAGGGGAGCGGCAGACGGGUGAGUAACGCGUGGGAAUCUACCCAUCUCUACGGAAUAACGCAAGGAAACGUGUGCUAAUACCGUAUACGUCCUUCGGGAGAAAGAUUUAUCGGAGAUGGAUGAGCCCGCGUUGGAUUAGCUAGUUGGUGGGGUAAAGGCCUACCAAGGCGACGAUCCAUAGCUGGUCUGAGAGGAUGAUCAGCCACACUGGGACUGAGACACGGCCCAGACUCCUACGGGAGGCAGCAGUGGGGAAUAUUGGACAAUGGGCGCAAGCCUGAUCCAGCCAUGCCGCGUGAGUGAUGAAGGCCCUAGGGUUGUAAAGCUCUUUCACCGGUGAAGAUAAUGACGGUAACCGGAGAAGAAGCCCCGGCUAACUCGUGCCAGCAGCCGCCGUAACAC